GAUGAACGCUGGCGGCGUGCCUAAUACAUGCAAGUCGAGCGAACAGACGAGGAGCUUGCUCCUCUGACGUUAGCGGCGGACGUGUGAGUAACACGUGGAUCACCUACCUAUAAGACUGGGAUAACUACGGGAAACCGGAGCUAAUACCGGAUAAUAUAUUGAAGCGCAUGGUUCGAUAGUUAAAGACGGUUUUGCUGUCACUUAUAGAUGGAUCCGCGCCGCAUUAGCUAGUUGGUAAGGUAACGGCUUACCAAGGCAGCGAUGCGUAGCCGACCUGGCAGGGGGAACGGCGCCAGUGGGACUGACAGACGGCACUGGCUCCGACGGGAGGCAGAGGUAGGGAAUGUUGCGAAAUGGGGGAAAGCCUGACGGAGCGACGCCAGGCGGGUGAAGAAGGUCUGCGGGUCGGAAGACGCUCUUAGGGGGGAAGAACGAAUGUAUCAGGAACUAUGCACGUUUUGACGGUACCUAAUCAGGAAGCAACGGCUAACUACGUG
rnacentral:rRNA from 1 species